CGCGUAGGCGGAUAUGUAGGUGUCAGGUGAAAACCCCCGGCUUAACCGGGGAACGGCCUGGCAAACGGCAUAUCUUGAGUCAAGUAGGGGUGUGUGGAACUCUUGGUGGAGCGGUGGAAUGCGUAGAUAUCAAGAGGAACGCCGAAGGUGAAGACAGCACACUGGGCUUGUACUGACGCUGAGGCGCGAAAGCGUGGGAGCGAACAGGAUUAGAUACCCUGGUAGUCC
rnacentral:rRNA from 1 species